AGGGUCAUUAGAAAGCCACUACAGAUCUAGGCAUCUGAGCAGGAAUAAGAGAGGAAAGGCAACUCUAGCCACAUUAAUCACUUUUAUCCAGAAGAUAAAUGCUUUUUCCAAAUCUUUCAACAGGCUUUCAUUUUACAUUUGGCAUAUUUUUGUCAUAUAGCCUUCCCUAGCUGCAAGGGAGGCUUUUCAAACUUCUUUAUGGAAUUCAGCAAGAAAGUAAAGCGUAGGCAAUCCCAUGGCCUGCUGAGAUUUCAUUUAUUUGAUUUUGUUCUGUAUUCUCAUCAUUGCACAGAAGAUUGGAAAAAUGUCCUGCUGUAUUGUUUCAGUUCAUUUGGAAAUUGACCAAGUCUCAUUCUGUCACCCAGGCUGGAAUGCAGUGGCAGGAUGUUGUCUCAUUGCAACCCCUGCUUCCCAGAUUCAAGCGAUUCUCCUGUCUCAGCCCCUGGAGUAGCUGGGACUACAGAGCCUCCCUCUGUUGCCCAGGCUAGAGUGCAAUGGCUCAACCUCAGCUCACUGCUACCUCCCAGGUUCAAGUGAUUCUCCUGCCUCAGACUCCCGAGUAGUUGGGAUUACAGGCACCUCCCACCACACCCAGCUAAGCUGGCCAUGGGGCGGGGGUGAGGGACCAGACCUAGAGGACUUCAAAUUGGAUGGAGAUAGUGAAAGGAGUUUCAAAGCAGAGGUUGGAGUGAGAAAUGCAAGAAAGGAUAGUAAAUCCAAGAGAAGACUGAGGUUCAAAAAGUCAAAAAAGUGAAUGAAGUAGAUUAUCACUGUGACUGUUCUAGAAGACUGAAUACAGAGAUGUGUAGACUGAGAAAACUUACCCAGCAGUUGAAUCAAUGCUGAGAAGAAUUAAUAUAAGUCAUAGGCAAUCUCCUAGAGGUUUCAAAAGAGCAUAAGGGAUCAGAUGCAAAUGUUUUGUUGCCUCCGUUUUCCUGUCUAAAAGCCAUUGAGAUAUGCAAUUAGCUACAAGUGCAAUGAAAAAAAUCAGCCAAUCAUAUUUGCAAGAUUCUCACAAAAGUGUAAACAAGAAAUCUUAAAGGAAAGUCUUGUGUUUGAUUGAUAUCAAAACUACAAGGACCAACUUAACCAGAAUUAAAGAAGUAUAUUUGCAGC